rnacentral:tRNA from 1 species
GCCCGAGUGGCGGAAUUGGUAGACGCGUUGGUCUCAAACACCAAUAUGGUAACACAUGUAUCGGUUCGACUCCGAUCUCGGGUAC